UUAGCUCAGUCGGUCAGAGUGUGGUGCUGAUAACACCAAGGCCACGGGUUCAAUCCCCCCCUA
rnacentral:tRNA from 1 species